UGGGGGGUCGUCUAGCCAGGUGAGGACGCGGCGCUUUGAACGCCGUGGCGGAGGAUCGAAGCCUCCCCCCCCAGCCA
rnacentral:tRNA from 1 species